ensembl:lncRNA
GGCACUGUUGGAUCUUCCGUCCAGCACUGAAAGUUGUGGUCACGUGAAUGCAGAUGAUUUAGAGCUUCUCUUUUCUCCGGGUAGAGGAGGAAGUAAGUCUGCUCUUUUGUCAAUCUAACCACACCUCAUUGUCUACAGAACGUUUCACUCUCAAAAAGGUAAAGGGCUUCAGAUUUUUUCUCUCUUACACACACCCAUGUCAUUUCAGUCCUUUCUGGCACUGUUGGAUCUUCCGUCCAGAACUGAAAGUUUUGGUCACGUGAAUGCAGCUGAUUUAGAGCUUCUUUUUUUCUCCGGUUAUAGAGAAGUCAGUUUGCUCUUUUGUCAAUCUAACCACACCUCAUCCUCGUCUACAGAAAAUUUCACUCUCAAAAAGGAAGUACGCUUCCUGCCCGGGACAACUUUAUGGUUUGGGGAGGUUCGCGAGGAACAUGGUUUUGCCCUCGCCAAUUCAAUUAACUAUGUUAUAAGGUUUCCAAUGGUGAAUGUGACCUAUAACUGUUGUAAUCAUUAUUUUGAAGGCCUGACUUUGUUCUAAUUAUUAUUUCUUGUUCUAAUUACUUCUUUGGGAGAGGGAGGCUACAUCAAGAUGUCCCAGAAUCAGAACAACCAGUGUGGCAUUCAGGGACAUGCACAGGAGGGGGCUUAGGUUGCCCGGGAAACUGCCCAUCUGCCCUCCUCGACUCAAUCUGCCCCUCCGAAAGGAAAAAAAAAAAGUUUUAAAAUAGUAUAACGGCUGCAGAAUUUCAUGUAGGCCUAGAUUUAAAAAAUCACCACCCGAAAUAUUUCAUAAAGUAGCCUAUGGCACCUGAGGGCCUACAUUUUUGCCUCAAGAGACGGUCACAGUUGCCUUGUGUGACUUAAUCGAUGCGCAACUGCUUUGACGUAGUAAGAAAAGGUGAGUUUUAAGUUGUAGAAAUGAAUAACAAACGAACAAUCAUCAUCAAGUUAUAUGAAAUGCAAGGCUCAGUUAGCCUAAACUAAAGAAUCAGAGAGUGGAGAAUCAGUCAGCUAGCUUGCCUGCCAGACAACCAGCCUGUUAUCACAUGCUAUUUUUUUGGUAGGAAAACUAAGCUACAUGUCUGCUGAUGGUUAGUUUCUAACAUUUCAUUUUAACAAGAAGAAUAAAUGAUGGAAGAAAUGCAUCACAUGAAUUAUUUCAUUCAAAAUGGUUAAAUGCCUAAAUCCUAUCACUGUUUUGGGUGUAAGUCUAGAGUGCGGUAGAAGCUAGAAUGCCCAUGGAAAAGAGAAGGAUUCAGGAGAGAGAGAAGCCGCUAAAGGAGGCAGCAAAGGGGAGCACAUCUUUGCAGAGUUGGUUACAAAAAAGCAAACCAGCAGGUGAGGCAGAGACAUUGCAUCAUGAUAAAGAUGACAAUGUGUCGGCUAAUGAAUUAAUGUGAAACAGGCUCAUAUUUUCAGACUAAUAUUUUAAGUAUACUAAUGGCAAUUUAUUAUAAUUACAUUACAUUUAAGAUGAGGAGCAAUCACAAGCCUCCAGACCAGAGAAAAAUGUGGACCAGUAGACACAUAGGACCGGUAGACCUAAGUGCUGAUCACCAAAUAUGAGAUGAAAGGACCAUGCUAGAAAGUACAGGGAUAAAGAGCCAUAUGCUAAAUAAUUUUAAUCUUAAAACAAGUAUAGGCUUUUUUAGAGAUCCUUUCAAAGAUCUUGCCUGAGCAGAACAGAAAUAACAUAACACUGCUUCUAGUGGGCCUUAUAAUAGUAAUGAUAAUGGUAAUAACAAUAAUAUAUAAUUGGACAGAUGAUGAGCCAAGUACAUCAACUGCAGACAAAGUCAAAGAGCCAGAGCCAGACGAGAACAGAACCGACUUGGAAAACAGGAAAGGAGAGACGACACAGACAGGAUGCCAACAAGGGAGGAUAUUGAGAUUAAGAGUGAGACAGAAUUUUUUGCUGAGAUUGAGUAGUCCAACAGAUCCAGCUCAUAUACACAGCAAUAUUCUUAAAUACAAUCCGGCCUUUAUCAAAUGUUCUCAUUCAGUCGGGCCUUGACGUCCUAUUGUGAAGUUCCCACAAAAUGCAGAAGGGCACUCUUUUCAAGCCCACUGGUAUGAUGAUGACCCUGGCUGGAAUGUUCUCCAC